rnacentral:rRNA from 1 species
UACGUAGGCAGCAAGCGUUGUUCGGAGUUACUGGGCGUAAAGGGUGUGUAGGCGGUUCUUUAAGUUUGGUGUGAAAUCUCCCGGCUCAACUGGGAGGGUGCGCCGAAUACUGAGGGACUAGAGUACGGGAGAGGAAAGUGGAAUUCCUGGUGUAGCGGUGAAAUGCGCAGAUAUCAGGAAGAACACCUAUGGCGAAGGCAGCUCUCUGGGACGGUACUGACGCUGAGACGCGAAAGCGUGGGGAGCGAACAGG